UUCAAUAAUUCAAACCUACAGUAAUGGCACUAGCUAUCUUAAAUUGGAUUAUUCAUUGCUUGUAAUCAUUUUUUAUUUUUCCUAUGGAUAUUUUUUUUUUUUUUUUUUGUGAUGGAACAUGUGAACUACAUCUGAGAAUGGACAUGCUUUUGUAAGCGGAGCACCUGAUUGUUUUUCGCACGCACUUGGAUUCUGUGUCAUGUUUAGGCUGUAUUGUUUAUUCAGAAAAAUGAUUCACAGUGCAUCUUUCUUCUGUCUGUGCUUUUUGCUGUCGAAUGGUGUGUUUGGUGCUGAUAGAGAUGAAAUGAAGUCAGUAUCAGUGAUGGAGAGAGAUUCUGUUUCUCUAAACACUGAUGUUAAAGUACAGAGAGAGGAUCAGAUACUGUGGAUGUUUGGACCUCAAGAGAGACGUAUAGCUGAAAUCCACAAACAGGUCAUCCAUAUAGAUGCUAAUCCAACAUUUGAGAAAAGACUCCAGAUGGACGAUCAAACUGGAUCUCUGACAAUCAGAAACAUCACAAAUGAACAAUCUGGACUUUAUACACUACAGAUCAUCAACAACAUAGGAAAUACACGCAAGAGAUUCAAUGUUACUGUCUUUGCACUGAAUGAGCGUUCACGUCACACAAAGUCAGUCGCAGUUAUAGUGCUGCUGCUGGUCAUAGCUGUAGUUGCUGGUUUGCUUUAACACAAAAAGUGUAAAAAAACAGAAAAAGAAG